UACGGAGGAUGCAAGCGUUAUCCGGAUUUAUUGGGUUUAAAGGGUGCGCAGGUUAUUUGAUAAGUCAGUGGUGAAAGUCUGUCGCUUAACGGUAGGAUUGCCAUUGAUACUGUUGGACUUGAAUAUGGAUGAGGUAGGCGGAAUGUGUAGUGUAGCGGUGAAAUGCAUAGAUAUUACACAGAACACCGAUUGCGAAGGCAGCUUACUAAUCCAUCAUUGACGCUGAGGCACGAAAGCGUGGGGAUCAAACAGGA
rnacentral:rRNA from 1 species